CAAUAGCGUAUAUUAAAGUUGUUGCGGUUAAAAAGCUCGUAGUUGGAUUUCUGCUGAGAACGACCGGUCCGCCCUUUGGGUGUGUAUCUGGCUCUUUCUUGGCAUCUUCUUGGUGAACGUUGCUGCACUUGACUGUGUGGAGCGCUACCCAGGACUUUUACUUUGAGGAAAUUAGAGUGUUUCAAGCAGGCAUACGCCUUGAAUACAUUAGCAUGGAAUAAUAAGAUAGGGCCUCGGUUCUAUUUUGUUGGUUUCUAGAGCUGAGGUAAUGAUUAAUAGGGAUAGUUGGGGGCAUUCGUAUUUAACUGUCAGAGGUGAAAUUCUUGGAUUUGUCAAAGACGGACUACUGCGAAAGCAUUUGCCAAGGAUGUUUUCAUUGA
rnacentral:rRNA from 1 species